GUGACGAGUCGGCCGGUGGCUUUCGGCGUUCCAUUUCAAGUUCCAGGAUUUAAGAAUGAUUAAAGAUGUAACUGCCGGAGAAGCACGCGAGUUCAAUUCUGUCAGUCGGUCACAAAAAAGCUGUUAAAACAAUCAAAACCAAAUGUGUAUUGGUGGGUUAGAGUUGCAGAAAUGUGAUCGGAUGGGUGAUUUCCAAUUGCGGCUCAAACGAUGAAGUGAUUUCUUUACGUAUUUUCGUACAGUUGCGUCAUUCUUCCGUUAUUUUACAGAAGUACCGUAAUCAUACAAAAAUUGAUGGAUGUAAUGCCGUACUCGUGUUGCCGGACGUCUAAUGGACAUUAAAGUCGGUCGUUUAAGCAACAGUUUAAAAUCAGUGAUUUCAAAAUCCGAAAAACCGAAAUCCGCACCUGACCAAUAGUCUUACUAAAUAUUUAAAAAUUCAAAUAUCCAAAAAGUGAAAUAAAUCAAUUUCUUUGAUCAUCGUUCAACCGAUCAAUGCCUAGAAGCUUCAAAGCCAUAAGCUAGUGUAACAAUUGUCGAGAACGUUGACACUAGGAUGUUGGACGAUUACCAGAAAAAAGCCAAUUGAACCAAUCAUCGGAGAAAACGAAAACUACUUCAGGGUUAAUUUAAAAGUGGAUGACGGUGGUGGCUGAUCCGUUAUCUACUAAAUUACACAACGAAUAAUCUGAACGUUUCGAUUAAGAACUAUCUGUAUAAUAAAGAUAUAGGGACAAUUGUUUGUUUAAUAUCCAUAAAUAUCCUCGACAGA